rnacentral:rRNA from 1 species
AUGAUGAAGAAUCUGAGGAGGAAGAAGUGGUGCAUUAUGAGGGUGACACAGAGGUUGAGGAACCUUUUCAAAUGGAUGAAGAUGAUAGUUGUUUCACAGGAUGAAGAAACUGUAAUUGCACAUGAAAAGAAGAAGAAGAAGAAGAAGAAGAAGAAGAAGAAGAAGAAGAAACAGAAGCUUCCAGUUAGGAAAGGGCCUACAACAAGGACACAUUCAAGUGUAGUUCAAGAGGAGGAACCUGAUUUCAAACCUUCAUCUGACGAAGAAGAGAAAGGAUUGUUGAAGGAGGCUGAUGAUGAUGGUUAUGAGCCAUUGUCAUUUAUGCUGCGAAAGAAAAGGAAGAGCAGGGCAAAGCAGAGGCCUCCUAGAAAAUGGCACAAUGAGAAAAUGGAGGCACCACAUGAGCAAUUAUGUCUAAAGAUGUGUUUCAAGGAUCAACAUCAAUUCAGAGAGGCUUUGUUGAACUUACACAUCACUCAAGGUAGAAACUUGAAAUAUCAUAGGAACUCAGAUCAAAGAAUAAUUGUACAAUGCAACCAAAAACAUUGCAACUUCUUUAUGGUGGCAGCAGUUAUAAAAGGUAAAACUACUUUUGUAAUUAAGAAGAUGAGAAUUAAGCGCACUUGCCCUAUUAGUACAAAGACAACAAGGGUAAGUGCCAAGUGGCUUGCACAGAAGUAUGAGUCACUGUUCAGAUCUGAUCUAACAACUGUCAUUCAGACUUUGAUUGAUGCCUGCAUGGAGAAGUAUGGUGUGGAUGUGCCCAAGUCAAUGGCAUAUAGGGCAAAGAACCUAGCUAUUGAUGUUGUGCUAGGAGACCACAAGAAGCAAUACCCUAGGUUGAAAGACUAUGCUCAGACAGUGAUGGAUACAAACCCUGGGAGUAGAGUAGUAGUCACUACUGUAACUCCAACAUCCACUGAAAAAAAAUCCCCCAUCCAGGUCCAAGAUUCCAUGCUAUGUUCUAUUGCAUCAAUGGAGCAAGGGAGGGGUUGA